CCCGCCACUAUGCUAGUCUGUGAAAGUGACUAUGUAUAAAUCCAGUGGAGGCUGAUAAUGACCCAGCUCUAGGAAGCAGGGCUGCCCAACCUAAUGGGCAACUCUGUGCCGAAAGGCCUGGAACACAC